rnacentral:lncRNA from 1 species
GUCUUCAUAGUAUAUUCAAGCUUAUGUAAUAAUACUUUAAUUACUUUCCUCUUAAGUUUCAAUAAAUGAUGAGCUUCUGAUUCCAAGAAUCUCCUUUUCUUUAUGCGUUUAGCCAGGCCCAGAAAGUUAUGAGAAUCUCAGUCUUCAAUCUUUGAAACUUAAGAAUUAAGAUGAUCUACUAAGUGUGUACAUGUUUGUGGACAUGUGAACAUUGCUGGGGGGCAAGAAGCCAUCUUACACUUUCUUCAUUGCAUAGUCAUCAUGGACAAAGGCUGCAUUUUAACCUAGAGUACCUGGGAUAUGGGAUUCAAUGCAUUGGGAUCUGAAACACAAUGGGAAAUGCGAUGUGCAGCAUUGUGCUUUGCCCAGGAUGCUCAGACCUCGUCCAUAACCUAGCAGCUUUAUAGAGUUGGCUGUAUCUGACAGUUGUUGGUCCAUAGGCUGAAUUUAACACACUAAUCUGUUUUCUUCUUGACCACUCCCUCCCUUAAAAUAAAAUUUCAAGUUGCACACCCUGGGAGAGAAGGUCUUGGUUAAAAGGACAAAUUUUUCCUAUGAUAAUUUAGAUGUUUUGAUGAACGUUUUAAUUGUCAUUUGUUGCUAAUGCAAGUAAAUGGUGCUGUUUUAAAUGAAAAGUUGAGCUACAUCUUCAGGUAGGAACAUUUUGAAUUAGAUUAAUGGAUUGUAGUCUAAGUGGAAAAGACAUGAUAAAUUGAGAUACAAUUAAAUAGCUCUAUUAAGAAAAAAGGAAUUAAAUCUUCAUUUGAAAUGAAAUGAAAAGGUCUAAUUUGAGCUACUCUGAAUACCUUCCCUUUUUAAUUUUUAAGUUCUUCUAACUACAACUGUUGUCUGGUGCAUUUAUUUUCAGAAAGCAAAGAUAAGCAUGAAAACAUGAACAAUGAAUGGCACAACAAUGAAAAUGAGUCAUUGCAACAACAUCCACAAAAUUCAGCUGACCUGAGGGUGGGAAGAAAACUACAUCAUUUUGAUCAUUUUUCUUCUUAACAUUUUAGUUUGUAGCUUAAGUGCAAAGAAAUACUAGUGUUUUUCUUGUUGUUGUUUUGUAGUUUUCCUGUCCCCUCAGUUCCCUCCAAUGUGUAUAAUACCAUUCUUCAAUGAAGUAAUAGGACAUUUAACAAAGAUCACUAUGUGCAAUACUGUAUUUAGUGUUUCUAUGUCAAUUUUUUAGGAUGUUAAUUUAUAUGAAAAUAAAAUGAAUAAUAAA